rnacentral:snRNA from 1 species
AUACUCACCUGGCAGGGGAGAUACCAUGAUCAUGAAGGUGGUUUUGCCAGGGAGAGGAUUGGCCAUUGUACUCCCGAUGUUCUGACCCUGUGAUUUCCCCAAAUGUGAGAAACUCAACUGCAUAAUCUUUGGGAGUGGGGGACUGUGUUCGUGCUCUCCCCUG